rnacentral:rRNA from 1 species
UACGGGGGGGGCAAGCGUUGUUCGGAAUUACUGGGCGUAAAGGGCUCGUAGGCGGCCAACUAAGUCGGACGUGAAAUCCCUCGGCUUAACCGGGGAACUGCGUCCGAUACUGGAUGGCUUGAGGUUGGGAGAGGGAUGCGGAAUUCCAGGUGUAGCGGUGAAAUGCGUAGAUAUCUGGAGGAACACCGGUGGCGAAGGCGGCAUCCUGGACCGAUACUGACGCUGAGGAGCGAAAGCCAGGGGAGCAAAGCGGG